AGCAGCGUGGCUCAGUGGAAAGAGCACAGGCUUGAGAGUCAGAGGUCUUGGGUUUGAAUCCCAGUUCUGCCA
rfam:Ornithorhynchus anatinus chromosome 1, whole genome shotgun sequence.